rnacentral:sRNA from 1 species
GGAAAUAAUACACAAAGCCCUCCAUUCU